AGUGAGCGCUGGCGGUAGGCCUAACACAUGCAAGUCGAACGGCAGCACAGUAAGAGCUUGCUCUUACGGGUGGCGAGUGGCGGACGGGUGAGGAAUACAUCGGAAUCUACUUUUUCGUGGGGGAUAACGUAGGGAAACUUACGCUAAUACCGCAUACGACCUACGGGUGAAAGCAGGGGAUCUUCGGACCUUGCGCGAUUGAAUGAGCCGAUGUCGGAUUAGCUAGUUGGCGGGGUAAAGGCCCACCAAGGCGACGAUCCGUAGCUGGUCUGAGAGGAUGAUCGGCCACGCUGGAACUGAGACACGGGCCAGACUCCUAAGGGAGGCAGCAGUGGAGAAUGUUGGACAAUGGGCGAAAGCCUGAUCCAGCCAUACCGCGUGGGUGAAGAAGGCCUUCGGGUUGUAAAGCCCUUUUGUUGGGAAAGAAAAGCAGCAGGUUAAUACCCCGCUGUUCUGACGGUACCCAAAGAAUAAGCACCGGCUAACUUCGUG
rnacentral:rRNA from 1 species